rnacentral:rRNA from 1 species
GACGAACGCUGGCGGCGUGCCUAAUACAUGCAAGUCGAACGCUUCUUUCCUCCCGAGUGCUUGCACUCAAUUGGAAAGAGGAGUGGCGGACGGGUGAGUAACACGUGGGUAACCUACCCAUCAGAGGGGGAUAACACUUGGAAACAGGUGCUAAUACCGCAUAACAGUUUAUGCCGCAUGGCAUAGGAGUGAAAGGCGCUUUCGGGUGUCGCUGAUGGAUGGACCCGCGGUGCAUUAGCUAGUUGGUGAGGUAACGGCUCACCAAGGCCACGAUGCAUAGCCGACCUGAGAGGGUGAUCGGCCACACUGGGACUGAGACACGGCCCAGACUCCUACGGGAGGCAGCAGUAGGGAAUCUUCGGCAAUGGACGAAAGUCUGACCGAGCAACGCCGCGUGAGUGAAGAAGGUUUUCGGAUCGUAAAACUCUGUUGUUAGAGAAGAACAAGGACGUUAGUAA